rnacentral:piRNA from 1 species
UGCUAUCAGUGAUCAUAGUUUGAAGUCGG